GGCAGGCGGCGGUGCUGAGCUCGGUUCACGCUCGGAGAGCGGCUUCCCUCCUGCCCACAGCAGAGGCGCUCCCCCACCCUCCUUCCUCCUCCUCUUCCUCCCGGAAUCUGGUGCUGAUCUCCAUCACGACUAGGAACGUUUGCAUUUAGUGGUACAUCCAGCCUUUCUCUGAUGAAAACCACCGAGAAUACAUCAGUAAAACUGGUGGGAAAUGUACCAAUGGAGUAUGUAAAUGCAGGCUGGAAAAGAGAAACACAAAGUAGUUGAGAAAAAGGAAAAAGUCAAUAGAUGCAAUGAAAACAACAACAACAACAAAAGGAAUGAACUAACUGAGACCAUCCCUGUCUUUUUGAGGAGGAUUCUGACUAUAAGGAAUAUUAACAGCAUACCAAGAAUGUCACCAACAUGCCAAAUGGAGGGGACGUUCAAGGAAUCAACAGGAAAUACUACAGAAAUAGAUUAUCUGAAAUCUUGUCAAUUGGCUGCAAUCUGGCUUCACUCAACUUUUCCCUACGUGUUGAGAGCAGAUAUUCUCUCUGAAUAGGCUCAGGUCAGUCAUGUUGUAUUACAGUAUGCAAUGGUAUAUUAUGACAAGGGAGUCUUUGCAUUACACUGUUCUUGUAAAAGGGAUGAUAAGUACAGGAAGAAAUGCCUUUACAGGUCAUAUUUACUAGACAGAUAUAUUGCCAAGCGCUGUACUGUUUGUGCUGCUGUAACAGUCCAGGGGAAAAUGUCUCCUUCUUGAGACAGAAGUAGGCUUUACAGCAGCCAAAUUGCAAAAGCCCUGUGGGGCUUCUGAGUCCAAAAUCUGCAAUUGAAUUUAAGCUGGAACAGAUAACUAGGUAAGUAAAUAAGUUAUGCCAUAAUGGCCUAUUAGAGUAUAACAAUAUGUUGCCUUUUAGAUAACUUCCAGUUUGCUAAUUUGAAAAUUACAACCCUAUGAAAGCUUUCAGAGUGACAGCACAUUUGUUUGUAGUCCAGUAUCUGAAUAUGGCAAAUAUUGGUUCUAUUAAGCUAUUAUAAAGCUAAACAUCUACAUCAGACACAUUUUCUUUCUGCAUGAACACAAAGGCAUAAUGUUCAUGUUUUGCUGAUAUCUGCAUGAUUAACUACAUUUGUUUUCUAUUUACCACAGAAAGCUGUGCUCUCAAAAACCUAUCUGAAACGUUCCAACUUUCACUCAGGGACAUUUCUCCCUGAAUAAAGACCAAAGAGCAGUAGAUGUCAGUAAUCAGGAAUCUCUAAGGACCCCAAUUUUUACAGCCUCAUUAGUACUGUCUUAAUUAGAUGUUGCCCAGGUUGGCAUUGACUUGUUAAGCUUAUAUGGAAUGCAGUGAAGGGCAACCGAUAUGCUCUCAAAAUGUCAAAUAAUGUAUCCAGCUUCCAUAAUAUAUGAUAUUAUCUAUAAAAGGCUAGUCUGAGUUAAAGACAAAUGGUCUUACAUUCUGUCCUCUUUUAGCUCUCUUAGUAAACUCUAUGAUUUUCUCUUUAUU